rnacentral:misc_RNA from 1 species
AGUCUUUUUUUCUUUCAUUUUAGUCGUCUAUUCUAUUCUCUUAUUCUUGUACCUCAGGUUGAAGUUGGGAACGUCAACGUAAUUCGAUUGAGAAAUGAAAAACCAGGAGAAUUCCAUGAAAGAAUCAAAUAGAGGUCAAAAUAUUCAGGCUGAGUUAUUAGGCGAUAGACGCAACUCCCGGAAAAUUGGGAUACCACAGAAUACAGGACGUUCAAGAUUUCAGAUCCGCAGUUUUGGAAGAAAAUGAUGAACAAAAAUUCUUUUGAGGUUUCAAAGACGGUGUAUUAUCACCUGAAAGAAUGACAAAAAUGAAAAGAGGAGCUGGUCGACUUGACAUGGAACGUCCCAUACUUAUAUGUAUAGUCAAUUCCUCGCAUACCAUUGGUUUAUCUGAUAUUUGUAGGGAAGUUUAUUCAUCAUUUUCGAGUCGGUCAGUUUUUGCCCUGGCAGAAAUAGAUGAAUAAUGAGAAGAGAAAAGAAGGAGCAAAAAAGAAACGGAUCAGAAAAGGAAAAAGCAGGAUGAGGAGAGAGAAAGAACGAGAGAUCUGAGCAGCUGAACGGACUACGAACUUUGUGCAGAUGGCUGGCAUGGCGCAUGUGAUCACGAUUACCAAUUAUCACGGUAUAAGUAUAUAGUUUGAAAGAAAUUGAUAUGGAGAGGUGUACAACAAAGAUGUAUGCCGAUUGAUUAAUUACUUUGAUGAAUAAUGAGAUAAGAUACGAUAAGAAGUGCAUACUUUCUUCAUCGUCUUGAUGCAAGUAGAAAUCACAACUUGGAAAAUGAAUCCUAUGCUCUCUGUCUGGAUCGUCGCCUAGUUCCCAUUUCAUAACAACGCCGCGGCAAAAGGCACAUUCUACCUAAGGUGAGCAAACAUCAAUUAUUAUAUAUAGAGCUUUUAAUGAAUUUGUGAAACUCUGUAGAAAAUUUUUGUGCAAAAAGAUAUGAACAGUGUAAACAAAAAUAGAGAUUCUUGUUUGUAAAUUCAAAUUUCAUCAUAAAAAAUUUGCAGACAUAGUUCCCUUACCAUAUCUGCCUGUUGUAAGUAGUAAAAUCCUGCUUUGGCUAAGCUUUCUGGCGUGACGAUGUUCGAAACUGGCCAAUUAACGAAUGAUCUUAAUCUCUGUGCCUCAGUUCUAUACUCACUUCUAGGUUCUUGACUUUGAGUGGGUGAGUGAGAAGUUGCUGAUAUUUGAUUCUGGUUAUUAUGUGACCUCCGAGGCUGAGCUGGAGAUGGUGUAGAUGAUGACGAAGACGACGUGGAUAAACAGGACAUAGUAUUUGGGGAAGGAGUUAAUGGCAAACAGGACAGAGUAUUUGAGGAAGGAGUUAAUGGCACAUUGCAGGUACUUGAGGGGUUCAAAACAAAGGGACAGUUUGGGUCUAUUUGUCGGUGGCGGGCCAUGACCUGGUCACCGUAGUUCCAUUCGGAUAUCUUACCACCGCAUAAAAAACACUGCACCUCAAAACUGCGACCUGUGUAAUAAAAUCCAGCUCUUGCUAUACGAUUGUAAUCCACGGCGGCGUUUCCAGGCCAGUCUGAAAACGUCCUUAACCUAUUUUCCUCGAAAUUCAUUAUUUGUUUCUUUACACUCGAUUACGCGGUGAUACGUCAACGUCCGAUUGUUCGGAACUUCC